GGGCUCUUGGCGAAACUGGUAUCGCACCCCGUUGGCUACGGGGAGACUGCGGGUUCGAGUCCCGCAGAGUCCA
rnacentral:tRNA from 1 species